GCGAAAGUGGCGGAAUGGUAGACGCGCGAGACUUAGGAUCUCGUGGCCCUGUGCCGUGGGGGUUCGAGUCCCUCCUUUCGCA
rnacentral:tRNA from 1 species